AAUCAACGCUGGCGGCGUGCCUCAGACAUGCAAGUCGAACGCGAAAGUUUCCUUCGGGAAGCGAGUAGAGUGGCGCACGGGUGAGUAACACGUAAGUAAUCUACCCUUGGGUGGGGAAUAACAUCGGGAAACCGAUGCUAAUACCGCAUAAUGCAGCGGCUUCAUAUGAAGACAGUUGUUAAAGCAUUUAUGUGCCUAAGGAGGAGCUUGCGGCAGAUUAGCAGUUGGUAAGGUAACGGCUUACCAAGGCAACGAUCUGUAGCCGACCUGAGAGGGUGGUCGGUCACACUGACACUGAAUAACGGGUCAGACUCCUACGGGAGGCAGCAGUCGGGAAUUUUGGGCAAUGGGCGCAAGCCUGACCCAGCAACGCCGCGUGAAGGAUGAAGUAUUCGGUAUGUAAACUUCGUAAAAAUAGGAAGAAUAAAUGACGGUACUAUUUGUAAGGUCCGGCUAACUACGUGCCAGCAGCCGCGGUAAU
rnacentral:rRNA from 1 species